CUCCAGCCGCCGCCGCUCGCUCCCGGGCGGGCCCCGCAGCCCCCGCGAGCGCUGGAGAGGCCGGCGCCCGCCCUCACCGCCCGCCAGCCGGGCUCCGCUCGCUGGCUCCGCGGCCAAGGCCGCCGCAGCUCCCGGCAGGCAGCGCCCCCUGGCCGGGCCCGGCGGCAGCGCACGGCACUGCGGCACCGCCGGGGAGGCAGUGCGGAGCCUGACGCACCCCCGCCCCGCCACCUCCGGAUCGCACGCCCAUACGGGCGCCCAACGGGGAGCGAGGCGGCUCUUGGGAGCCGCCCGCAAAUGGCAGCGUGUGGGAGCCGUGCGCAUCGGGCGCUCCGUGCUUCACGCCUCCGAAUCGCAGCCGGGGACGUCCUACGCUGCGCGGACACAGCGGACCUGGCAGGCCCGGGGGGCACACGGAGCGCCGACGCGGGGCCAUCCGCUCAAAGGCAGCCCCAGAGGGGGAAAAAACCGCGCCGGUUCCUCACAAAAGCGGACUCAGAAGUACGAUGGCAAAGUGACGGGUACGCGGGGAACCAUUGCUCUGCGCUCACGCUCUCACCGGCGCCUCUCUCCGCCCGUCGGGAAAACCGUCUCUCCAACGCCUCGCCCGUGUGUGCGCGUUGUGCCCCGGGGUGAGGAGGGGGCGGACAGCCCCGGGCCCCCGCGCCCGGCUCCGGCUUGAACCGCCGCCCUCUGCCGGGCGGAGCCUGAGGGCCCGCUCCCGGGCCUCGCUCACCGCCUCGCGCCUCAGCCGCGUGCCGCCGCGCUCACGGCCAACGGCCAACGCCUCGCGCCGCGGGGCGGCCUCUCAGAAGCGCCUCAGCCGCGCUGAGGGAACUGCCGGCGGGUUGGGCUUCUCCGCCUGCUUCCUACGCUGCCGUGAGCCUCCGUGAGCGAAUCGGGGACUGCUUGCCCAUCCCGCUGGAAAUCAAAAGGAAGCACUUAGUGAUUAUUCAUUGAUUCUGGUAGAACGUUGCACUUUUCAAGCAGAAAACACAAGAUACUCCCCAUUAACUGAAUCAUCAGUCCAUGGGCAAGGAGCUGAGGAGAUAAAAAACACUAAUCGUAUCUGGUAGCAGCACGUUAAAUGGAAGUGGAAUUUGUUUUCUCCCGUAAAGCAUUCCUGGUUAACCCCAACGUGCCGUCUCUGGCAAUUAGUGGUGUCACGCUUGUAAAGCACUGAUGAGUUCUGAUCCAGCGCAGUGCACAGUCACUGCCCUCAAAGCAAUCCUCAGCUCACACAGCUAAACACACGGCCUGUCUGACAGACAGAAAGGAAGUACAGCAUCAGCAAUGACUCUUCAUGCCCUCCAGCCAAGUGCACACGUGUGGCUUCCCGACUACAUGUGUCUCAGAGUCAUAUCGCUACCAGAAUUCUGCUCUGCUUUACACAGCUGUGCUGCUAGACACCUGGAAUGAAAGCGUCCUCGUCUCCGCAGUGUGCUCCCUCUGCUAGGGAAGAAUUUGGGUAUGAACAAUGAUAAACACCGUGUGCAAACAAUGAUUUUGGUCCCAAGUCCCAGCAAUGCCAUAAGGCAUGGACCAUUUACUUGGCACAUUCAGUACAACUAUCAAAGAAAUUCUUCAGCUCUUUAUAGUGCAUCAGCCUCACAUCAGUGAGCAUCUAGCACGCUGUGAUAAGAAAAAUAUGCCUAAUAAUACCCCAGGUGGUAGCACGGACAUUUGGCAUUGAGUUAACCACCUCUCUCACUAAGUCUUUCACCGUCUUUGCCCAGCUGUUUGUGAGAAGGUACCAAGGAAGAGGACAGCCUGGGGAUGUGGAGAGUCCGGCUCACACCAAGGUGGGGAACUGGAAAGAGGACGAGGAGACCAUGGCUAGAAAGCUCUGGAAAUGCUUAAGAACCUUUCUGAUAACAUUGCUGGUCUAGCCAGAAGCUGGAAGUGCCUUUAAUGAAUACCCACAGGGUUCAGGUACUCAUGAGGAUGCUCCAGAUGAAUGUCUGCUCAGUAACAAAAAAACUGCCAGGAUGUCCAAGGAGGAGAAACAGGUUCCUGUUCAACUUUGUAUCUCACUUGCUGAGUGACAUUUAACCCAUCUGAGCCCUUUACUCGUGUAUAGUAGAACUAGUUAUACUGACUGCAUGAGUACGUGCUGCAUGAGACCACAUAAAGGUCUGUAAAAACUGCUUUGAGAGUCAUCUGUGAGAAGUGUUACUAUGAUGAUUACAUGAAAAAUUAUCAUUUGGAAGACGUGAAAUCAUCACCUAAAUAUGUGCUUUCUAGUUCUCUGAAACAAAAGACCUUUGAGAUUCAAAAGUGAAGAGUUCAAAAGAUGAACUUCAUCUUCCUAAAACGCUGCGAAAUGUGCAUUUUUCAUUUGAAGAUCUAAAAGCACAUUACAAAUUGUUGAAACUCUUGAACAACCUGCUCUACAUCACUCAAAAAGUACAUUUAAGGGUUUGGACUAGAAUCACAGAAUUCUUGAUUUUACUUCACAUCCCGUAUAUCUCAACUAGGGGAGAUUUUAAUUUCCUCAAUUGUAUAAAGUUUCCCAUCUUCCAAAGACGAUGGAGCUCCAGGAAUAAUGCUGGAGCUGUACCAGAAGAUGGUGGCAAGUAGGAGAAUUGUGCCUCUCACUGUUUGGAUAGAGGUCGUAAUUCAUGCCAAGCUGGUCUAAAAAAAUCUGCAUCAAGUGUGAUAUAUUGAUGGAGGAGGAGGGACUGGUUUAUCUCACAGCUUCAAGAAGGAAUUUUCUGAGUUGUUGAUAGCCUGUUCUAAAAAGCCACGUACCCUUUUCCAUACAUGCAACCAACAUAUCUGUGCUUCAUGGCCAAUGGGAAUAACAAUGGCAAACAGCAGGUGAUUUUAGAGUCUCCAAAACAGGACCAGAUGUGGGUCUGCAAAGGAGCUUACAAGCUUCUGAAGUAGAUCUACAUAAAUAACGUUCCCAGGCAUUUGUGUGGGCUUCAGUGAAUGCGCUCUGGACUUGAUGUGUUCACUCGUGGAGGCGAGGCUUACUCAGUAUGCUGGCUGAGGACAAAAUACAUCAGACACUUCGGAAAGGAAUUCCACCAGCAAAGCAGCAACACAAGAGGGUGUUUUGUGGAGGAUUUUCAAAUGGCUGUUUCUGUGAACAGAGACUCACUCCCUCAAAUGUCAACGUUUUAGAUGCAAGGAAAAUACUAAGGACAACUCAAUUUUGGAGAAAAGACUUAAAUUUUAGUUGUGUGUAAGUACAAAAUAAAAACAUUUCGAAGUGAAGAAUCAUACCAACAUAGUUCUGAUUAAAUAAUCCACUACUAAGAGCGUUGAAGCGACACCUUUUGGCAUGUGUGUUUUCUUGUGUCUUCCACUGUAACUACCAACAAAAAAGUUGUCAGAUUUUUUUACAAGUUUUGUGUACGAAUUAAAUCUAUUAAUUGCUGUACUGAUCUAAUAUAAAUGGACACAUACAUUCUAUGCAGAAAAAAAGAUCUAAUCCUUUUAAAAUCUUGUUAUAAUCUGUGUAAUAUCUUGUAGCAGCAAGUACCAUGCACCAAUUAUACUUUGAAAGUACUUUCUUUAAUAAACUGCACAUGCUCUACCAGGCAGCUUAACUUAGAGUGCUUUGUUCUCUCAUAGGAGCAAUCAAUUUUACUUUUUCCAUAUAAUCCUCUAUUCUGUUUACUACCAAUGUGUUCCUUCUGUCACAUUUUUGUUUCUGCAAAAAUGCUGACAAUUUUAAUUUUUCUUCAAAUCACAGGUUUCUCUGCAUCUUCAUAUAGUCAUUUUCAGCAUCUAGAUGCUUAGUUUUAUCCUUAUUGGAAAGCUGAGGGCUAUGGCCCGAGCUGAGCAGGCUGUGUCACCUACUUGGAGAAGCACUUUGACAGCCUCAGUGUUAUUGCUUUCUAUUUUUGGGAGAAUAACAGUUAUACAACAACAAGCAGAGCUCUCUGCCUGCACACCAGCUCAACUGAAAUGUCUGGUUUUCUUCUUGGACGGUCAAACCUGAAAGGUAAUGCAUCCUGCUGUGAGCAGUUAUGACCAAAAGCCUUACCUUGCCUUUGUCAAAAGUAUUCAACAUUCAGGAAAUUUACCUUGAACAUAAAAAUAAAAUAUUUUUACUGCAGCUCUGUGAAAAAGAGAGAAGAGAGAGACUGCUACAGGCCUUGGGAGGAGAAGGGAAGACAUAGAAGGAAUAAAUCCAGUGGGUCCUGGGGCAUAAGAAGGCGUAGGAUAAGGGACAGCAGCAGUGAUGGCACAUAUCUUGCAUGAAGUUUAUAACCUCUGGUUGAAGUAGGAAAUAUAUUUUAGAAAAUGUCUUCAAACCACGUGUAGAGUUCUCAGUGUGUCUACAAACAUGCAGUUACUUAUUUCCAGCAUUCUCAGUUUUGUUGUUUGACCUUCUGCUUGAAGGAUGGAAGUUAAGUACAAACUUUAAUCGAGAAAAUGAAUAUUUUUUCUUUCAAUAUCUGUGUGCAGGGUUUAAACAAAUACAUACAUACAAAUUUAUUCUUUAAAUCUUUCAGGAUUCAAAUGAAAAGAUGGGCUUUCUUCAGAAAGAAAAAGAACUGAAACUUACUUGAAAGGAAGUGGUAGAUGUAGUUGGCUCAUUGUUAUCUGAAGCAUUUCCCUUCUUUGUUGUGCUGGGGAUAAAUGAAUGGCUGCUAUAUGCACAAAUGUACAUGACCCUCAAGCUCUGGUUCAUGAUUUCUUAUUAAUAAACCUCCGAAGGCGUGAUAAAGUCAAAUUCCAACAAAAGGGAUUUUAUUCAUGAAGGAAUCUGGCAGACACUACUUUUGCAACACUCUCUUGGAUUAUUUGUUGUCGGCAUGCUUAUCUUUUCCACCCUACUCCACCUUAUUGUCAGAUUAAUGAAAAAGGAUGCAGCAGGCAUUAAUAAUCACCAUCUUUGAUGCACUUUUUUUAAGCUAAGUCUUCUAAGGAAGUCUGCUUACAGAACUGUGCUGCAGGUGCAUCUCCCCCUCCUCUCGAACAAUUUAGAUAUAUGUUGCUCAGUGUCAGCCGCACUUGAAAGUGGCAACUGGUGACUGCUAUAGAAAAAAGUCACAAAUGACUGCCCCUGCUGAGGGCACGGCAGAUACCAUACGUUCUUUCAGCAGCAGGUGGCUGUCAGUCAGCAGCAUGCAGGUCUAGACUCUUUUGGAUGGAUAUUCUCCUCUAUCAGAACUGCCACAGCGAAUAAUAGUGCCCAUAUCUCAGGGGAAAGGCAUGAUGCAGGGCAGGUAGUGGAGGAGAUGGUUAAAAACAUGGGCUCCUCCUGCUUUCAUUAGUUCUUUGAGGAACGAAACUGUUCACAUGCACAAAAAUUUGUAUAAGUCCACCCCCAAGUAUUCAAGGCAUUAACAAAAAUCCCAAGCAUCUUGUUCAUUCCAAUUGCUUCUCCACCCACAUUCUUCAUUGAAUUAAAGGAUAUCCUACAUAUGCUUUUGUUUCACUUAUUCCCUAAAGAUCAUUUCAUCACACACACCAAGCAAAGAUCUUCAGCAUAUUCACAGUAACAUCUCAUUCAGAGCAUUCAGCAUUAUGAUGUUCCUGGCACAAGGGAUGUUAUUAAAGGAUUUUAGAGAUGAAUAGACUGCAGAUUUCCCCAGGGCAAGACAUCAGAAAACGGACAUCAAAAGAACAUGGCUCAAAAUGCAGUGGGCAUUACCAGCUUCUGGCAAAUCCUACUAAUUUCUGAACAGUAAUGCUGUCAGGCUGCGUUAGAGACACAUCCCUCCUAGAAUAUCUCUGUAAAGCUAUGUUUGCUUAUCCACAAAGCACUUCAAUUUCAAUAUCCAACCCUAUAGUUCAUGUCAGCAUAAUCUUCACUAGUAGAAAACAUAUCAGGCCAAGUCCAGAUACGAUCUCACUCAAAUCUUCCAGAGCAAACAUGACACAGACUCUAUAGCCACCAAAAUUACAUGUUUUCUCCAACCAUCAUUCACAAACACAAACAGACCACUACAAGCCAUGCAGAUCUCAAACGUGAAUAUUUCUUACAGAAAGUGCAGUUUGUCACAUACUACACAUCAUCUUCACAGGAUGACACUCGGUGAUGGGAAUUUUACUUUUAAAUCUCUAUUUCCGUUUUUCACCAAAAACUCACUGGGAUUUAUUGUCUUACAGCUAUUUUGAACCACCAGUAACAACUCUUAAGUAGGCAGUGAGGAAGGAGAGGCACGUAUACUGACACGAUGUCACCACCUGACUUAUGCUGGGACAUAAAAAUAGUUCGAAAAGUAGCAUGACCAAAAUUACAGUAUCGUUUAAUUACAACCUACUUUCAUGACAGGCUGUCAGUUAAUUAACAGUGUCAAAACGCUGAAUCGCCUCCAGCUUCUACGUGCUUUGCAAAUGACGUGGAAGUCAUCUUUUUAAAUAGCAACAGCUUAACUGAAAAUGCAAAACUCAUAGCGAAAUGCUCUGAAAAAUGAAGCAGCCAGCUGAACUGGUAUGAAAUUCCCCACAACAAAAAUUCGCGAGGGAAGACAGUUAAAAUCCAUUUAACUUGUUCUCUGAAGAUCAUAUUCACACAACGAUAUUCUUGUACCAGAAACUAUUCUUCUGAAACUGGUAUCAUUUUUAAAAAGUUAUUAAAAAAGAGCCCUAAGUGACAAUGGUCUGUGCAGCUACGCACACGGCCUGGCUCCAGCACUGACACCUUCCCUCCAGCCUACUACAAUGCAGGCAAGCAUUAAGCUGUUGCAUGUAGGCCUACCUCCAUUUCAUACUGCUUUCUACUCCUUGGCAUCUGCUUUCCUCCUCCUCUGAACAGCAAACUCAUCCCUAGCACUAAAUUCCCUGUUAUCUUUAUUGGGCAGACUUUUAAAUUAAAUUAUUUUAUAUAAAUAAGUUUUGCAUAAAUUGUAGAAAAGCAGAAGAAUGCAGUGGUAAGUGGACUGGAUAGACAGCUCAUGCUGAACUAGCCAGCAAAAAAUAAGAACAGUGCCCAAACACAGAAUUAGGCUGUCCUUUGAAAGGUAAGAAAAGGAAAAAUAUCUUGAAACUGAAACAGAACCAGUGCAGCCCUUCUCUUUCAUUGUCAUGUUCAUAACAAGAUGGUCCCUGUGAUGGAAAGCCAGAAAGAAAAGUUCUUCUUUGUUUUCCAAAGGAAAACGAGUUCUUAACAUCAAGAAAACUGCUGAGUAAACAUCUCCCCCUGAAGCAUGCAAAAAAGCUGAGCAUCUUCAUAACGAAGGAAACCUUGUCUUUUGGAGGAAUAAAGGAACCAAGGUAAAACAGAGCCAAAGCUUUAUGUCAUAUAGUAACAAGGGUAUAUAUAUGUGAGGCAGAGUGAUUGAAUAAUAAAGGAUAAGGCCACAAGAAAGCAACCUGGUAAUACAGGAGAGACCGUGCUGGGUGGGUUCAUAGCUUCAUGAAUGUGGCAGUGUCUAGGUGAUUAACAAAUUAGAGGUUGGAGAAGAAGAUAGGAGACUGGAUUUCAAGAUAAUUUGGGCGUAGGACCAAGAGGAGCUGCUUAGGACUCUAAUUUAUGCAACUACUAAAGGACUUCAAAUACUAAAAAGAAAACAGCGAGUUUCCUAAGCUGAGUUCAAAGUGUUCUUUGAAACUAAAGUCUUGGAUCAAGAAAUUUUUUUCUUUGGUAAAAAUACCAUUUGGUACAAACCAGGGAGAAAAUGAAAGCUGACCAGUAAACAAGAAUGAUUCACUUUGCCAGGGUGAAAAAGACCUCAAAAUAAUUUUGGCAAAAUUGUGAUUGUUCAGCAAUUACACCUUUAUUUCAAAGGUGUGUGCUGUAUGGAUCCUGCUCUCUGUGUUUUCUUGUGCUAGGACACUAUCGCUUCUUCUGCAAGGAGGAAGCCCAGAGCCCCACACUGACAUUUAAAACUGCUGAGAACUUGUUGUUAUUAAUUUGAUUAUACCUUAAAUGAUAAGCUCUUCAGGGAAAUGGACCGUCUUUAAUUCUGUAUUUUUACAGAAACCAUCAUAAGGAGUUAGCAUCCAAUAAAGCCUAUUACGCAAUGUGAUGAUGCAGUGUUAAUUGCAUGUUGCGUUCUCCCUGACCACUUCCUUCAAUAUUUAAAGGGCUACCCUGGAGAUAAACAUCAGCUCAGCAAUGGCUAGAAUGUCAAUGACUACACCAAUUUCCACUAAUGGUGGAAAAUACCCCAUAAACUGCAGCCAUCUCAGCCAAAUCUUUGGAUUAUCAGCCUAUGCUACUCUCUAUUCAUCUAAGCAUACCUAAAAUUCCCACUUGCCACCUGUGGUAUUGAACUCUAUGAGGAGCCAGGAAUCCAGCAAACAUUGCCAUAUAGACACUAAAUAACAGAAGAAAUGAGUGAAGAAAGUCACUGGUGUCACUGCAAAGAUCUCCAAGCUGAACAGAAGCUACUAAUUAUUCCUGGAAAGUUAUGAUCACUUCUUUUCCUAGUAAACAUGGAAACAAAAGCCAGACACGUGCUAGUCUUCACUGUGUCAUUUAUUAGGUCAGUAGUGAUGGCAAACAGAGUCAGUCUUACCAUCACAGACAAACUCUACCAAUACAUCACAUACAUGUACAUACAUAGAGAGAACAGUCAUGACUGCACACACUCCUUCUGCUGUUCCAAUGAAUUUCAUGGCCCUGCUUGAACCAUCCUGUUCUCUUAGCAAUAUUUUGACUUCACAACUAUGUGGCAACCCCUUGCCCUAGCUAAAGGAUGUUUCUUCAUUAGCUGUAAUUAAGCCUAUAAAAAACAGGCUUAUUAUGCCUUGCCAAAUCAAGAUUGAGAUUUUGUGGAGUGCUGUGAGUCAGAGCACUAUGGAAGCCCUGCCCAAUUACUUCUUCAACAUCUCAAUGAGAGACUCUGUAAGUCGUUCAGAACUGUAACUCAAAAUCAGUCAGCUGAAUAUUCUGAGUUUGCUUGAAAAAAAAAAACCCACCAAAACCAAUUGACUCCGGGGUUUGUUUCUUUUCACCUAUGAGUUUGUUAGUAACCUAUACAUAGACACUGAAGUAUUUGGUCCUUGCAUGGAAGCUUAAAGGGCUCGUGGGAUCUACUGAAUAAGAGUUACUGGGAUAAGCAACCAUAGUACAUGCCUAUUUUUACCAUGUGACUGUAAACUAGUUAGGAAUGUUUGACAAAAUUGGUACGUCCAAGAAUAUAAGAUUAAACACAAAGUUUGCCAAUAGAAUAAUAGCAAGUAUGGCAAGAAGCUGCUAGGGAAGCAGGAGCUGGGGCAAAAAAAGCAAAACUCUUGGUAAAAUAAAGGAAAAACACCAAAACCAGAGAGAUGUUCUGUUCUGAUAAAGACCAGGUAUUUUUGCUUUAACAGGAUUACUUAACUAUGAUGGUAACAACUGUUAAGGCUUGUUUUUAUUGAGCAGGUAGACAAUGCAUCUCCCGCAGCUACUUUCCAUGGGGCUGUUUAGGAGGGUAAGACUAAUUGCAGAUAAGUAUUUCAUCAUCUCCCUCAUCUUGGCUUAUCUAAGGUAAAAGCGAAGGGCAAAAAUUGAAUCAAGGCACAUCUCAUACAAAUCUUAAUGCAGAUUAAUGGCUUUGCAGAAAAAACUAGCAUGCACAAAAAGUAGUUCUCAUGCUUAUCCAAGGUAAGUGAAGCCUUGUUCUAAAUGGCUACCUUUCAUCUACUCUUUCCUGAAAAAUACUGGCUGUCUUGAGUCAAUAGGAACCAAAGAGCUCAAGCAGUUUUCAAGUGUUUGCAAAUCUUGUGAUGUGAGGCAGCCCAAACUCAUGAUUAUAGUUAAAGGAAGAAAACAACAUGAGUGGUUACAAAGGAAGAUGCACUUAGGAUAUGCUCUUGAUGAGGGUACUGUAAGCCACUGAGAAAGCGCUGGUGUAAGACAUCUAAACCUUUUACUACAGCUUACUGCAAACUCAGAACAUUGUGCAGAUUAAAGCUAGAAAAAAGUACACAUGGAAAAAAUUCUAUCAGUUAAGACACCAGUGACAUUCCACUGUAUGUUCCCACAGAACAAGCAGUGCUGCUCACCAAAGUCACCAAGUUUGCAGUGACCAGGACUGCACUAUAAAAACCCUCUCUAAUUUAACAAAAUCAUCAGGAAACAGCACAUAUCACCAGAAACAAUAGCUAGAUUACCCCUUCAAAUUUGACUUGUAGCCCCUAAAAUAAAAGACCAGAUGGAAUAUUUUUUAUGGAUAACCCAUUUCAAGGUUUACAGAACUGAGCUGGAAAAUCACCAUGUAAUGGGAUAAACUAUGACGAUUUCAGAGUUGGAAGUGGCUAACACAGUUUCUCAGUACAAACUGCCAAUGAAAGCAAUUCUGCAACUCAAAGGGCAAGAGAACAAAUAAGGGUUGUAAUAUUGCUGCGGUCAAAAGUUAAUAAUUUGCAACACGGAAACUAUGAGGUUGAGAAAAAAAGAUGUAGAAAAUACUAGAAAAUGGAAUGCAUUCCUUGCUUUUCAGAAAACUGACAUUUCUUUUGAGUCAAAACAGAAGCCUCAGCAAAAUACUCCAAUAUCCAGCAGCAGAUUCUGAGAAAUGCUGUAUAUUUCAGUCAAGCUGCGGAAACCAGGCUGUGGGAAACACUCAUUCAAAGUAAAAAUUACUUUAUGCCCUGCUUUCCUUUAGAAACAUUAAAAAAAAAUGCAAGCCAUCGAUCAUUACAACUGUCACUCACAUAGAAAUAGAGCAAAUGCUCCAAAAUGAACAGGGAGAAACUUCAGUUCCAUCAUUACUCUCUGGAGACUGUGAAAAUACUGUAAGCAAGUUACAGCUAUUUUCAAUUAAACUCAAUGUGUUAGAAAACCAUUUGAAAUAAGACCUUGUCAUAGAGAUGGCAAUUUCUUAAAGUUCACAUUGUAAGCUAUUUACUGACUGAGGUUUUCAGUGAACAGAAAAAAAGCUCUAUUCCUGCCCCCCCCCCCCAUCACUCUUCACUUUCUAAAAAGAGGCAUGCAAAACAAGCACUGGAGGAAGGCUGUGUUUGGGUGCUCUGCAACUACAGAGCAGAGGAUGGCUGGAGCAGAGGGUGGGGGCAAUAAGAGCAUGCUGAAGUCGUUCUGCAUUCAGCUUAUCCAGCCCACGUUGCGGGCACCAACUUGCCAGUUAUGAUCCCCAUAUUUCACAAUUAAAAGAAAGUUUAAAAAUAAGCUUUGAGUUACAGAAUCUGACCAGAUUGGUCGCCCAAGGCAUCAGUAUGGCAAAUCUUUCCUUUCUUCCAAACUCAGUAUGACUCUGGCAGCAGCACCACAAGCUCCCCGUGCCACCUUGCCAAGAGAAGCCUCAGAGGCAGAAGCAGCAGAAACAGUAAGAAAAGGCUAGUUCAGUACGUAGGGCCCAUUGACGUGAUGGUCACCUCUGCCAAGCCUGCCCAAAAGCACUGCAGUGCAAAUGCUUCCCUUUAAAGGAAGGUUACCAUUUAUUUAGCAGAAAGCUAAAGCUAGCUGUCAGGUGGCAAGGCAAAGACAACCAGAUGGGCCCUGAACAUACAGCUUCCUCUGCAGGAAUCUGAGACCUGCAAGCUCAAACACUGCUGCCAAGGUGCAGGAUGCAGUUUCACAAGCUCAGUGAAUCAACGAAAGCAAGCUGUCAAGAUAAGAAACAGUCAGGCUUUUAGCACGUGCAAGUACAACCACAACGUGGUACAGCUUUCCCAGUAAAGUGAAAAAUAACCAAAAAAUGAAGUCAUUUACAACCAGCUGAGCAAGCUGACCCAGUUGGCCUCACAGAUCACCUACUACAUCCGGUGCUUGAGAAAGCAAAGAAAAGCAAGGCCUAUUUAUCAGUCUUGGUGGUGAGGAAGCAUUAGAUUGUAGCAGGCCUUUCACCAAGCUUCACACUCCUGGUGUGCAAAGAUGCUGACAAUUUGUUGAGAUUUUAAGCUUUCACUUACCUAUGUUUGGCAAUAGUUUGCAUCAUUUGGAAAUUUCCAGCUUCACAUCUGGACUCAGAGUCAGAUCUGAUGUUCUGAAAAUGCAGUUUGCACAACACUUCUCAGUGUCUGGAGAAAGCUGGUCACAUAGCACUGGCUCCUCUUUGUAUGCUAAGUUGCAUCAGACAAUCUAAAAAUACAUUAAAUACUUUCUAAUAUUACUUUUUGACAUAAGCAGUAACUAUAGCUGCCACAAGGAUAUUGCAAGGGUGAGAGGUCACAUAACUUAGUUGGAAUAUAUACACUGACAACCCAAAAUACCGUGGAAUAUAAUUCCUUUUUAUUGUUCAAACUUUUGCCUUACUAUUGAUACUUUAUCUGCUCACUGGAGUUUUAAAUGAUCUCUUUUUACUGUAAGGAUGUAACAGACUCAGCAUAUUCAUGAAGUCCAUCCGCAACAGAGAAUUCAAGGAAAUGCUGUAUAGUAUUUGAGCAUCUGAUAGAUACCAGAUUGCCAAGAGAGAAUGGUGUCUGAGCAAACCCUGGGUCUGUUGUUUAAUGAGGGGGUAUUUAAUAGGGCUGUUGGCCCAAUGAACAGUAUGUGCUUACCAUGUGGAAGUAGCCUUUCAUCAUAACAUUUGCAGAUGCAGCUCUUUUCUCUCAAGAGCCAUCCAGACUGUUUAUCCAUUAAUUUACGUAUCACAUACUUGUAUGAGGAAGGGCAGUGCUCCCAAAAUGAAGGCAAACUAAGGCACUCUAACAUGUAUGCAUUUGUUUCUUCUUGCCAAACACAGCGCCAGAAUCCAAAUAAAAGCCCAACUCCCAGUUACUACACUAUGCAUAAACCCAGGCUUCCACCCAAACAUACCAGCAAGACCGAUUUUAGAGUUAAGUCUCUUCACUUGCUCUGCUUGGCUACCUGACUUCUUGACUGGCACUGCAGCCCCCAUGUUUCUGAAUAAAUCCAUGAAGUUCUUCAGUGUCUGCAAAAUGGUCUUUGAAAAGGGGGAAAAAUAAAAAAUAAAAAUUACUUUACGGGAAAAUAAAUAGCUGAAUGUGAAUAACCAUUCCCCUUACUUCUGCAAGCGCUACCAAAAAGUUGCUGAGACUGUUGUGAUGUGCUUGUCUGUGCAUCAUUUCAUUGGUUCAAUUAAAAAACACGGAUUGUUUAAUCAAUUAAUCUUGAUCUGCAGAAUAAUCUGGUCACUUUGCUGAAUAAAAUACUACUGUCUUCAAGUAACAAAAAGAGGCUGAUCUUAAGGGCCACUGGAGGAAUUCAUUCACCCACCUUUCACCUGUUAAGCACCACCAUUUGCCCCCACUGCCUGGAGCAGCGUAGUCUGAUUACAGGGAAGCCCCAGGAGUGAAAGUGGGGGGCUCCUCAGGAGAGACAUUAAUUCAACUCUCACAUUAAGCAGCUUUACCUCACUGUGUUGCAGCUGCCUCAGUUCCUUCCUGUGAGCAGCAAUACACUCAUCAUUCAAUACACCACUCAGUAAAGAAACCAUUAAGACCUCCAGAGCUCAUUUUGAAUCCAGAACAUUAUUUGUUAUGAUCCCAGCAGAAGGGAUUUCAUAGCAACUCCCAAUUCCCACAGAAUGUUGACAAACAGUGAAUUCUCAACAUAUUUCACUAGUAGUUCUGAUUUCAGCUUUAUCAUUCCUCAUGCAUUCAAGUACUCCUAUACCAGUUAGAAAAAAAUUCACCCAAACCCUAUUUCUUCACAGCUGUCAAAUGCUCUUUUUACAUCAACUCCUUCCACCCUACUAACACUCACAUGCCAACUCACUUAUUAGCUAGUGCUGCUUGACAAAACCCCUCGCCAUCACUUAGUACCAAGUUUGCAGCACUGCUGACUAGAGGUAACUACUGCCACCCAUCUUGCAUGAGCCCUGCUCUCCUGAGGCCAGCAAGUCACACAUUUCCUCUUUGUAAUUUACUAAGGAAAUACACACAUCUACUGGCAGCCUACUAAAGCAGAAGACCAGUGUUUGCAGUCUCAAGUUCUCCAUUCUUUCAGCCUUCUGUGAUUCAGCUUUGAUUCUUGCAUACAGCCCAAGAAAAGUUUCAAGCUACGUUCUGCUCUUUCCAUUACUAUUUUAAGUCACUGCCAAGAUUUUUAGUACGUCAGUAACUUUAUCGAUACCUUUUGUAUGUCAGUGCUUAAGUACUGAGCAAUCUCACUACAGAACUACAGUGGUUAUGAAGCUUCAAGCCAAGCAAAGAACAUUUUGAUGCACCACCUGCCCACCUCAUUGUGGAGUUUUCACUGUAGCAACACAAACUCUUGUUAACUCUGCAUUCCACCAGAAUUUACAAACACUGUUUGAGUAAUAGCAUGAAUAAAUAUGAAGAAAAAUAGCUUUUCCCACAAGAGCCUUGAUGGGUUACUUUUAAUUAAAAUCAGUUUAAUGAUUGAUAAGCUCUAGUAUUUCCAGCAGCAAAUCAUAAGUGGUUGACUGUUUUCAGGUACAGUGAGAAAACUGAUAACGACAUAAGCUAGCAUAUUUAGUUAGUUUACUGGUUGUCAAACACAGGAAAGAGCGGUGGUUUAAAGUGUAAGUUGUCAGAUCAAGAACAAAAAUUAAACGAGCAUUUUGUAAGAAUUAGGAAGUUAAACUAUACAAGUUUACUGAAUCCAUCACUUACUCUUAAUCUCUCACAAAAUUAUUUUCCAUAUACUUGCUACAUCAGAAACUGUGGAGCACAAAUUUUCAGUAUCUGAUCAGUAUUUGGAGCAAGAGGGAUGUCUCAUGCAUAAACUCAGUACAAUUGCUACUUUGAAAUGUUCUCCACUCACAGCCCUUAAGCAAAUGGCAGAACACUACAAUACGUGUUUCCGAGUAUCCUUCAUUUGCUUUGAGCUUUCAAAAGCAGCAAAAGGCAACCCAGUGUGCCUGUGCACACAUUAAUGAAGAAAUCUUCUCCUUACAAACAGAAUAAUCUGCAGCUGAUUCAAGAUUAGCCAUACGACAAACCAAAGUUUCAUUCAGCACUGCAGGGAAAAUAGGAGUGUGGGUAUACGAAAGUGUGAAAUCCUAAAGCUCUAACAUGAUCUUCCCUAAACCUGCAUGUAUUUUCCUCAGUAGUUGUCAGCAAGGGUGUAUCACUGUAAAACAGCAGCUGCAUCCACCCAGCUGUUCCUCAGCUACUGCUGGUGGGAAGAGACAACACACGAGAGGGAACUCUUCCUCUUCCAUACUGCUGUUUUAUUUUGUAGCAAGAUCCAUGUAGUAUAUAAAAUAUAAGAAAAAAAUGAACAAGACCUAUAAAAUGAGUUCAGAUGACAAGCCACUUCAGCUCUGCUUUCAUGGUUUUAUCAUGAUGCCACCAGACUCAUGUACUGUUUACUUUGUACUUCUACAGUUCUAUAGCAUAUGAACCUACAUAGAAAAAGCUGAUAUGUUCCAAUUAAGCCAUAGUUAACUGACAAAUGUAGAGGAGGAAAAAAAUGGCUUUCUUAAGCCACAGCUGCCCCUGACACAGGUUACAAUGAUGUCUAACUAUACUGCAAUGCACAUAACAUCAAGAACCUUGAAAGAGCCUCUGAGAAAUCAGGUUCACAUUAAGCAUUUUAAAGGAAGGUCAUAAAUACUGCACUGUACCAGCGGUACCUCCCAAUGUCCUCUUUACGCCUGAGGAGCAUUUGUGGGUUUUAGUAAGCUACUAAAAUAGAUGACACCAAACCUAGAGGUAGGUUAAAGGCAAAGGUAAAAUACAGGCAAAAAAAAAAGUCCCUUUAGAGCUAGUCAUUGCACAAACUGCCCAGCAGGAGGCAAGGCAAAAUGUCAACAACUUUUUCUUCCCACCUUAAACAUUGCUCACAUGGUGCAUUUAAUUUCUAGUGCCAUAAGAGUGACACUGGAUCAUCAGCUGCUAGUAAAUGCAGUCAUGCCAAGAGAACAGCCUGAAGGAAUUCAAGCAAAAAUCUGUUAUUGUGCAAAACUGGUGCACUGGACUAUUACCAACUAGACCUCCAAGUUUUCUAAGUGACCUGAUGGUAGAAAACCAAAGGAUUCGUUUUCAUUUUGACCUAAUAUACCCUACAUGUUCAUAAGGAGAACAUAUUGCUAAGUCCAUGCGAAAGGAGUCAAACAUCAGCUUGUCUCAGAGAACUACGGAAAUGAGAAAGUAAGCUGAGAAAGGAGAAAAAAAAUAUUACUUUGCUGGGACCAAGAUUCUCUUUUAGAAAAUUACUGUACCAAACAAGCUGAUAAAAUAGCUUGUCUAAGGUAACAUGUAGGCAUCAACAUAUGGUUAAUAACAAAUAUUGUAUACAUUUCAACAUGGAUGAGAAAUAUCUUCAAGUACAGUAAUUAAUGCAAACUAAACCCAAAUUUUAAAUGGUGUAAUGCCUUCAGGUCACAAAAUGUAGACAAAACUUUUAACUCUACUCCUUCUGUGUACUACUUGGUGAUAAUCAAAAGUAACAAUGCUGAAGAUUGAUUUUAUUUCUUCUUUCGAAAGAAAAGGGAAGAUGGUUAAAUAAAAGUGUUCUCCAAUUUGUUCUCCACUAUAUGUACACCCACACACAUACACACACGCACAUGCACACAC